UACAGAGGGUGCUAGCGUUGUUCGGAAUCAUUGGGCGUAAAGGGCGUGUAGGCGGUUUGUUAAGUCAUGGGUGAAAUCCCUCGGCUCAACCGGGGAACGACGCAUGAAACUGGCAAGCUAGAGUACCAAAGAGGGGGGUGGAAUUCCCGGUGUAGCGGUGAAAUGCGUAGAGAUGUGGAGGAACACCGAUGGCGAAGGCAGCCUUCUGGGCCAAUACUGACGCUCAUGCACGAAAGCGUGGGGAUCAAACAGG
rnacentral:rRNA from 1 species